rnacentral:rRNA from 1 species
GACGAACGCUGGCGGCGUGCUUAACACAUGCAAGUCGAACGGAUAGCCCCUGCUUUUGUCGGGUUCUCGAGUGGCGACCGGGUGAGUAACAAGUGAUUAACCUGCCCUUUCCUUUGGGAUAACUUCAGUAAACUACGGCUACUACCACCUAGUAGCUCCUGCUGCCUGGUGGGGCUUGGAUAGUUUCGGCGGUUGGGGCUGGACUCGCGGCAUAUCAGCUUGUUGGUUGGGUAGUGGCUUACCAAGGCUUUGACGGGUAGCCGGCCUGGGAGGGUGAACGGCCACAUAGGGACUGAGGGACGGUCCAGAAUGCUACGGGAGGCAGCAGUGGGGAAUAUUACACAAUGGGCGGAAGCCUGAGGCAGAAACGCCGCGGGCGGGAUGAAGGGUUUUGGGUGGUAAACCGCUAGAGCAGGUGAUGAAGCGUGAGUGACGGUAAUGGGUAAAGAAGCAACGGCUAAAUACGUG